AUUUUGGACAAUGGGGGAAACCCUGAUCCAGCCACCCCGCGUGUAUGAUGAAGGCCUUCGGGUUGUAAAGUACUUUUGGCAGAUGAGAAAAGGUAUCCCCUAAUCCGGGAUACCUCUAGCGGUAUCUUCACAAUUAGCACCGGCUUACUACGUGCCGGCAGCCGCGGUAAUACGUAGGGUGCCAGCGUUAAUCGGAAUUAAUGGUCGUGAAGCGUGUGUAGGCGGUUGGGAAAGAAUGAUGUGAAAGCCCAGGGCUCAACCUUGAAACUGCAUUUUUAACUGACGAGCUAGAGUAGGUCAGAGGGGGGUAGAAUUCCACGUGUAGCAGUGAAAUGCGUAGAUAUGUGGAGGAAGAGCGAUGGCGAAGGCAGCCCCCUGGGAUAAUACUGACGCUCAGACACGAAAGCGUGGGGAGCAAACAGG
rnacentral:rRNA from 1 species